CCUACGGGGUGCUGCAGUGAGGAAUAGUGGGCAAUGGGCGAGAGCCGGAACCAGCCAAGUCGCGUGAAGGAUGACGGCCCUACGGGUUGUAAACUUCUUUUGUCAGGGAGCAAUUGGGUCCACGCGUGGGCUUAGCGAGAGUACCUGAAGAAAAAGCAUCGGCUAACUCCGUGCCAGCAGCGGCGGUAAUACGGAGGAUGCGAGAGUUAUCCGGUUUUAUUGGGUGUAAAGGGUGCGUAGGCGGAAUAUCAAGUCAGCGGUAAAAAUUCGGGGCUCAAACCCGUCGUGCCGUUGAAACUGAUGUUCUUGAGUGGGCGAGAAGGAUGCGGAAUGCGUGGUGUAGCGGUGAAAUGCAUAGAUAUCACGCAGAACUCCGAUUGCGAAGGCAGCAUACCGGAGCCCAACUGACGCUGAAGCACGAAAGCGUGGGUAUCGAACAGGAUUAGAUACCCUAGUAGUC
rnacentral:rRNA from 1 species